UACGUAGGGUGCAAGCGUUGUCAGGAAUUACUGGGCGUAAAGCGUGCGCAGGCGGCUGUGUAAGACAGAUGUGAAAUCCCCGGGCUCAACCUGGGAACUGCAUUUGUGACUGCACAGCUGGAGUGCGGCAGAGGGGGAUGGAAUUCCGCGUGUAGCAGUGAAAUGCGUAGAUAUGCGGAGGAACACCGAUGGCGAAGGCAAUCCCCUGGGCCUGCACUGACGCUCAUGCACGAAAGCGUGGGGAGCAAACAGG
rnacentral:rRNA from 1 species